GACGGACGCUGGCGGCGUGCUUAACACAUGCAAGUCGAACGGAAAGGCCCUGCUUUUGUGGGGUGCUCGAGUGGCGAACGGGUGAGUAACACGUGAGUAACCUGCCCUUGACUUUGGGAUAACUUCAGGAAACUGGGGCUAAUACCGGAUAGGAGCUCCUGCUGCAUGGUGGGGGUUGGAAAGUUUCGGCGGGUGGGGAUGGACUCGCGGCUUAUCAGCUUGUUGGUGGGGUAGUGGCUUACCAAGGCUUUGACGGGUAGCCGGCCUGAGAGGGUGACCGGCCACAUUGGGACUGAGAUACGGCCCAGACUCCUACGGGAGGCAGCAGUGGGGAAUAUUGCACAAUGGGCGGAAGCCUGAUGCAGCAACGCCGCGUGCGGGAUGACGGCCUUCGGGUUGUAAACCGCUUUCGCCUGUGACGAAGCGUGAGUGACGGUAAUGGGUAAAGAAGCACCGGCUAACUACGUG
rnacentral:rRNA from 1 species